rnacentral:rRNA from 1 species
GCUUACAACGAUAGCACGUUGGCUGCACGCCAUGCCGUCCGAUCUGGCAAGUUAAGCAACGUUGAGUGCAGUUAGUUUUGGAUCGGAGACUGCCUGGAAAAAUAAGUCUUUUGCUAUUU